rnacentral:rRNA from 1 species
GAUGAACGCUAGCGGCAGGCUUAACACAUGCAAGUCGAGGGGUAUAGGUUUUCGGACCUAGAGACCGGCGCACGGGUGCGUAACGCGUAUGCAAUCUACCUUUUGCAGAGGGAUAGCCCAGAGAAAUUUGGAUUAAUACCUCAUAGUAUAACACAAUCGCAUGAUUGAGUUAUUAAAGUCACAACGGCAAAAGAUGAGCAUGCGUCCCAUUAGCUAGAUGGUAAGGUAACGGCUUACCAUGGCUACGAUGAGUAGGGGUCCUGAGAGGGAGAUCCCCCACACUGGUACUGAGACACGGACCAGACUCCUACGGGAGGCAGCAGUGAGGAAUAUUGGUCAAUGGACGCAAGUCUGACCCAGCCAUGCCGCGUGCAGGAUGACGGUCCUAUGGAUUGUAAACUGCUUUUGUACAGGAAGAAACACUCCUUCGUGAAGGAACUUGACGGUACUGUAAGAAUAAGGAUCGGCUAACUCCGUGUCAGCAGCCGCCGUAA